rnacentral:rRNA from 1 species
GUGUCAGCAGCCGCGGUAAUACGUAGGAUGCAAGCGUUGUUCGGAAUUACUGGGCGUAAAGAGUACGUAGGCGGUCUGGCAAGUCUGAUAUUAAAGACUGGAGCUUAACUUCAGGACUGUAUCGGAAACUGCCAAACUAGAGGACUAUAGAGGAAGUCGGAAUUCUCAGUGUAGCGGUGAAAUGCGUAGAUAUUGGGAAGAACACCAGUGGCGAAAGCGGACUUCUGGGUAGUUACUGACGCUGAGGUACGAAAGCGUGGGGAGCAAACGGGAUUAGAAACCCUUGUAGUCC